UGGGGAAUUUUGGACAAUGGGGGAAACCCUGAUCCAGCCAUCCCGCGUGUGCGAUGAAGGCCUUCGGGUUGUAAAGCACUUUUGGCAGGAAAGAAACGUCGCGGGUUAAUACCCCGCGAAACUGACGGUACCUGCAGAAUAAGCACCGGCUAACUACGUGCCAGCAGCCGCGGUAAUACGUAGGGUGCAAGCGUUAAUCGGAAUUACUGGGCGUAAAGCGUGCGCAGGCGGUUCGGAAAGAAAGAUGUGAAAUCCCAGAGCUUAACUUUGGAACUGCAUUUUUAACUACCGGGCUAGAGUGUGUCAGAGGGAGGUGGAAUUCCGCGUGUAGCAGUGAAAUGCGUAGAUAUGCGGAGGGACACCGAUGGCGAAGGCAGCCUCCUGGGAUAACACUGACGCUCAUGCACGAAAGCGUGGGGAGCAAACAGGAUUAGAUACCCUGGUAGUCCACGCCCUAAACGAUGUCAACUAGCUGUUGGGGCCUUCGGGCCUUGGUAGCGCAGCUAACGCGUGAAGUUGACCGCCUGGGGAGUACGGUCGCAAGAUUAAAACUCAAAUGAAUUGACGGGGUCAUAGCU
rnacentral:rRNA from 1 species